rnacentral:rRNA from 1 species
UACGAAGGGGGCUAGCGUUGUUCGGAUUUACUGGGCGUAAAGCGCACGUAGGCGGAUCGUUAAGUCGGGGGUGAAAUCCUGGAGCUCAACUCCAGAACUGCCUUCGAUACUGGCGAUCUAGAGUCCGGAAGAGGUGAGUGGAACUCCUAGUGUAGAGGUGGAAUUCGUAGAUAUUAGGAAGGACACCAGUGGCGAAGGCGGCUUACUGGUCCGGUACUGACGCUGAGGUGCGAAAGCGUGGGGAGCAAACAGG